rnacentral:rRNA from 1 species
UACGAAGGGGGCUAGCGUUGCUCGGAAUUACUGGGCGUAAAGGGCGCGUAGGCGGAUAUCUAAGUUGGGGGUGAAAUCCCGGGGCUCAACCUCGGAAUUGCCUUCAAAACUGGAUAUCUUGAGUUCGGGAGAGGUGAGUGGAACUCCGAGUGUAGAGGUGAAAUUCGUAGAUAUUCGGAAGAACACCAGUGGCGAAGGCGACUCACUGGCCCGAUACUGACGCUGAGGCG